rnacentral:rRNA from 1 species
AUAGCGUAUAUUAAAGUUGUUGCAGUUAAAAAGCUCGUAGUUGGAUUUCAAGAGUCCCAGCGUGGAUGACACGUAUGGACUCUACCAGUCUUUGACUGUUACUGUGAGAAAAUUAGAGUGUUUCAAGCAGGCUGUUGCCGGAAUACAUUAGCAUGGAAUAACGAAUGUUUCUAGAAUCUUGGUUAAUUCUAGAAUACGAUUAAUAGGGACAGUUGGGGGCAUUAGUAUUUAAUUGUCAGAGGUGAAAUUCUUGGAUUUGUUAAAGACUAACGUAUG